CUCAGUAACGGCGAGCGAAGAGGGAUGUGUCCAGCGCCGAAUUCCACCGUUGAAAAUGGGUCGGAAAAUGUGGCGUUCGGGAGGGAGCGUGCCGGAGGAUGAUGCAACGGAGCAAGUCCCCCUGACCGGGGCUGUUUCCCAGAGUGGGUGCGAGGCCCAUAGCUCCCGCGUCGUCCUCCGGAUGCGACCUUCCAAGAGUCGGGUUGCUUGAGAGUGCAGCCCAAAGAGGGUGGUAAACUCCACCCAAGGCUAAAUACGGCCGCGAGACCGAUAGCAAACAAGUACCGUGAGGGAAAGUUGCAAAGAACUUUGAAGAGAGAGUUCAAGAGUACGUGAAACUGCUCAGAGGCAAACGGGUGGGCCCUCGAAGUCCCCGUGCGGGUGGAUUCAGUGGGGAGCUCUCCGGCUUUUGGUUUUUCUGGAUUCCUAAGACAUAUUUAGGGAUACUAGAGAGACAUCUCGUUCCGGUUUGUAACCCCACGCACUUCCACUAGCACUUCUCGGACGCCGCAGCCGGUUGGGUUGAUAUUAUCCGUCGGCCAUGAGGUCGGACGAUGGCAGGUGGCCGGCGAAACUCUUCGCGAUGUUUCGUCGGUCGUUAGCCGGUUCCGUCCGUGGCGCGACGCCCGACCGAGGCAAGAAUUGGCCUUCCCCUCCUAACUUAACUUGUUAUGUUAGAAGAGCGGGCCGGUAGACAGGUGCACUGCUACGAUGUUCGCUUUCAGUCUUUCGCACUGGGCGGCUCGCAGUUUAUCACCGUUAGUCUACACGGUCCCGCGAGGGAUAUGGUUGGCUAGCGGCGAGUAGGUCGGUCACCCACCCGACCCGUCUUGAAACACGGACCAAGGAGUCUAACAUGUGCGCGAGUCAAGGGGUCUUGAUCAGGCCCAGAGGCGCAAUGAANNNNNNAGUCCGACGGAAGCACCGACGACCCGCCCCGUUCUAUAUUUUAGAUGGGGCGGAGUCAGAGCACACACGUUGGGACCCGAAAGAUGGUGAACUAUGCCUGGGCAGGACGAAGCCAGAGGAAACUCUGGUGGAGGUCCGCAGCAGU
rnacentral:rRNA from 1 species